GGGGAUGUAGCUCAGUGGUAGGGUGCAUACCUUGCAUGUAUGAGGUCCUGGGUUCAAUCCCCAGCAUUUCCA